AACAUUUAGCCCCUAUAGUUGUAAUAAUAAUCAAUCAAUGAUAAUUACUAAUUAUUAUAAUUGUAAUACUGUACAGAUACUGUUGAUACGUCGGAUUCAAAGAAGACUGAUUAGAUUUAUUAUUUAUAAGUGAGUCUUCAGAGUAAUUAAACAAUUAAAUGACGACAACGUGAUUGUAGAUGUCACCAGGUCUAAGAAUACUGUCAGGAAAGUUUUCAUGAUUGACAGCGUCAGGAUAAUUUUGAGUCU